rnacentral:rRNA from 1 species
GUCGAACGGCAGCACGGGGGCAACCCUGGUGGCGAGUGGCGAACGGGUGAGUAAUACAUCGGAACGUGUCCUGUAGUGGGGGAUAGCCCGGCGAAAGCCGGAUUAAUACCGCAUACGAUCUACGGAUGAAAGCGGGGGAUCUUCGGACCUCGCGCUAGAGGGGCGGCCGAUGGCAGAUUAGCUAGUUGGUGGGGUAAAGGCCUACCAAGGCGACGAUCUGUAGCUGGUCUGAGAGGACGACCAGCCACACUGGGACUGAGACACGGCCCAGACUCCUACGGGAGGCAGCAGUGGGGAAUUUUGGACAAUGGGGGCAACCCUGAUCCAGCAAUGCCGCGUGUGUGAAGAAGGCCUUCGGGUUGUAAAGCACUUUUGUCCGGAAAGAAAACCUCUGGGUUAAUACCCCGGGGGGAUGACGGUACCGGAAGAAUAAGCACCGGCUAACUACGUGCCAGCAGCCGCGGUAAUACGUAGGGUGCGAGCGUUAAUCGGAAUUACUGGGCGUAAAGCGUGCGCAGGCGGUUCGUUAAGACAGAUGUGAAAUCCCCGGGCUUAACCUGGGAACUGCAUUUGUGACUGGCGGGCUAGAGUAUGGCAGAGGGGGGUAGAAUUCCACGUGUAGCAGUGAAAUGCGUAGAGAUGUGGAGGAAUACCGAUGGCGAAGGCAGCCCCCUGGGCCAAUACUGACGCUCAUGCACGAAAGCGUGGGGAGCAAACAGGAUUAGAUACCCUGGUAGUCCACGCCCUAAACGAUGUCAACUAGUUGUUGGGGAUUCAUUUCCUUAGUAACGUAGCUAACGCGUGAAGUUGACCGCCUGGGGAGUACGGUCGCAAGAUUAAAACUCAAAGGAAUUGACGGGGACCCGCACAAGCGGUGGAUGAUGUGGAUUAAUUCGAUGCAACGCGAAAAACCUUACCUACCCUUGACAUGGACGGAACCUGGCUGAAAGGCUGGGGUGCUCGAAAGAGAACCGUCGCACAGGUGCUGCAUGGCUGUCGUCAGCUC